UUGCAAUGGUAUUGGAGUCACAUGGUAUUGGAGUUUCUGCAAUGGUUGAAAAGAUAACAUUUUGUUUGUGUACUGCAGAAUUUUUUGGAUAAUAGGAAACUAUCCUGUCUAUUGAAGAAGAAGAAGAAGAAGAAGAAGAAUAUGAAGAAGAAGAAGAAGAAGAAGAAUAUGAAGAAGAAUAAGAAGAAUAUGAAGAAUAUGAAGAAGAAUAUGAAGAAGAAGAAGAAGAAGAAGAAGACGAAGAAGAAGAAGAAGAAGAAGGAGAAGAAUUUAUUCUAAUGAUCUUAUACAACUUGUAAUGACCCUUAUGAAGAUAUUUCUCUUCUUCCAACUCCUUGUAAUGACCUUGUACAUCUUGUAGUGACUCUUAAUAAAGAUAUUAUUUCUCUCAACUCGAGUUUUUGUCUUUAUAUCUUGUCAUAAGAUUUUAUUGUCAAAUUAAUUUCAAUAAUUCAAAUAAAUUCAUAAAAUCCAAAUAAUUCAAAUAAAUCCAAAUAAAUUCAUAAAAACCAAAUAAAUCCAAAUAAAUUCAUACAAAACCAAAUAAUUCAAAUAAAUCCAAAUAAAUUCAUUAAAACCAAAUAAAUUCAUAAAAAUUCAAAUAAAUCCAAAUAAAUCACAUGACAUACUCCAAUCUUAUCUCAUUGAACACAUGGCACAAGACAUACAUAUCACACAUGGCAUACACAUGACACAUGACACGAAUUCCUAUCCUUUCUUUUCAUAUCCUUUCUUUUCAUUUUCCUAUCUACUCCUUUCCCUUUCCUUAGUCUAUUAUCCUUGUUCAAGAAUGACCACUGUGUCGGUAAUUAGCUCGGCACUGCAAUACACACCGAUUAUUUCCUCUCCGGCAUUUUGUAAGCGAUCUUUGUGCAAACGAGGCAUUUUGUAGCUAUUUCCUCCUUGAUCUUCCAUGACUCUUACCAUGAAUGCUUGGAGUGUGAUGAAGCUCUUGAACAACUUAUGAGCGUCAUAGUUCUCAAACUCCUCCUCUACACCCUGUAUAAGUUCCCGGAUAUUCAUAGGCGCUCUGCAGUCGGUUAGGGAUUGGAGAGAUCGGUGGAAGCACAGGUCUAAAACAUUGAACUCGGGGCUGUUUGGAGGUUGUUGUAACAAUCGAAUGUCCAAAUCUGUUU
rnacentral:lncRNA from 1 species